UACGGAGGGUGCAAACGUUGCUCGGAAUCAUUGGGCGUAAAGCGCACGUAGGCGGCGGAGUAAGCGGGAUGUGAAAGCCCAGGGCUCAACCCUGGAAGUGCAUCCCGAACUGUGUCGCUUGAAUCUCGGAGGGGGACAGAGAAUUCCCGGUGUAGAGGUGAAAUUCGUAGAUAUCGGGAGGAAUACCAGUGGCGAAGGCGCUGUCCUGGACGAAGAUUGACGCUGAGGUGCGAAAGCGUGGGGAGCAAACAGG
rnacentral:rRNA from 1 species